rnacentral:lncRNA from 1 species
UUUUGAAGUGUCCUGGGAGGUGACAAAUAUUUGUCGACUAACUACGUAGAAGAAGGCGUGUACAUAGAGGAUUCUUAUCUUGAAUCAUUCGCACCAUGCUUGUGACAAUUUAUUAGCUUUGUUUGAGCUUCUUGGCAAUCGUAUCCCUAACAGAGCUAUGACUUGGAGUGGCACCUUGUCGACUACUGGAGAAGCCGUCUUUGUUUUUUGCUCAUUUUGUAAUAAGGCUGUGUAACCAAAUUCUUCCUUUAAAGAAAUAAAGUAUUCACAUUCUUGAAUUUGCUCUUUAUUCUUCAAAGUGUUUGUGUUUUUGUUGAUGAUGUGACUGUACUUGAAGUUUUUGAAGUUUCAAGUUGCCUACGUACCUUCAGUUGAGGAAGGAUCAAGUCAUGACGUAGUUCAAGGGAGUGAUGGGUUUUGGCGAUUUUGAUGGUGAAUUUUUGUUUGUUUUUGUUUUGUUUUUCCGUACACAAUUUAUGCUCUUGCGGGCUAGGAGC